UACGUAGGGUCCGAGCGUUGUCCGGAAUUAUUGGGCGUAAAGAGCUCGUAGGCGGUCUGUCGCGUCGGAUGUGAAAACCCAGGGCUCAACCCUGGGCCUGCAUUCGAUACGGGCAGACUAGAGUGUGGCAGGGGAGACUGGAAUUCCUGGUGUAGCGGUGAAAUGCGCAGAUAUCAGGAGGAACACCGGUGGCGAAGGCGGGUCUCUGGGCCGAUACUGACGUGAGGAGCGAAAGCGUGGGGAGCGAACAGG
rnacentral:rRNA from 1 species